rnacentral:misc_RNA from 1 species
AUCAAUCCUGCUAAUGCCAGUCGGUCAGUGCACCGUGUGCCGCUGGCGCGAAAUCUCGGCCUGCCGCAAAAUUUCAAGCGGCAGCCACGGCUUCUGCAUGAACAUGGUAUUGUCGGGGACAUCCUCGAUGGNNNNNNNNGAUAUGCGGAAACCGCUCCAUCGCGAUCCACGCCAGUUCGAUUCCCGACAUCUCGCCGUGA